rnacentral:rRNA from 1 species
CAAUAGCGUAUAUUAAAGUUGUUGCAGUUAAAAAGCUCGUAGUUGGAUCUCGGGGACGGUCCGGCGGUGCUCCUCGCGGAGUUAUACUGCCGCGCAUCGUUCUCACCUCGCCGGCUCGUCUAGGGUGGACUUCGUUGGACGCCCUAGUUGGCCGGGACGUUUACUUUGAAAAAAUUAGAGUGUUCAAAGCAGGCAGCUUCGCCUGAAUACUGGUGCAUGGAAUAAUGGAAUAGGAUCUCGGUUCUAUUUUGUUGGUUUUUGGAAGUCGAGGUAAUGAUAAAUAGGGACGAUCCGGGGGCAUUCGUAUUGCACGGUUAGAGGUGAAAUUCUUGGAUCCGUGCAAGACGAACUACAGCGAAGGCGUCUGCCAAGUGCGUCUUCAUUAAUCAAGAGCGACAGUCAGAGGUUCGAAGACGAUCAGAUACCGUCGUAGUUCUGACCAUAAACGAUGCCAGCUAGGGAUGGGCGGACGUUGCACGACGACUCCGCCCGGACCUUCCGGGAAACCAAAGCUUUUAGGUUCCGGGGGAAGUAUGGUUGCAAAGCUGAAACUUAAAGGAAUUGACGGAAGG